GACGAACGCUGGCGGCGCGCCUAACACAUGCAAGUCGAACGAGAGAGGAAGAGCUUGCUUUUCCGAUCGAGUGGCGAACGGGUGAGUAACGCGUGAGGAACCUGCCUCAAAGAGGGGGACAACAGUUGGAAACGACUGCUAAUACCGCAUAAGCCCACGGCUCGGCAUCGAGCAGAGGGAAAAGGAGCAAUCCGCUUCGAGAUGGCCUCGCGUCCGAUUAGCUAGUUGGUGAGGUAACGGCCCACCAAGGCGACGAUCGGUAGCCGGACUGGGAGGUUGAACGGCCACAUUGGGACUGAGACACGGCCCAGACUCCUACGGGAGGCAGCAGUGGGGAAUAUUGCACAAUGGGGGAAACCCUGAUGCAGCGACGCCGCGUGGAGGAAGAAGGUCUUCGGAUUGUAAACUCCUGUUGUUGAGGAAGAUAAUGACGGUACUCAACAAGGAAGUGACGGCUAACUACGUGCCAGCCGCCGCCGUAA
rnacentral:rRNA from 1 species